UACAGAGGGGGCAAGCGUUGUUCGGAAUUACUGGGCGUAAAGGGCGCGUAGGCGGCCUGUUAAGUCGAACGUGAAAUCCCCGGGCUCAACCUGGGGGCUGCGCUUGAUACUGAUGAGCUUGAAUGCGGGAGAGGAUAGUGGAAUUCCCAGUGUAGAGGUGAAAUUCGUAGAUAUUCGCAAGAACACCAGUGGCGAAGGCGGCUCGCUGGCCCGAUACUGACGCUGAGGCACGAAAGCGUGGGGAGCAAACAGG
rnacentral:rRNA from 1 species